GUUGUAUGGUUAAGUGACUAAGCGUACACGGUGGAUGCCUUGGCAGUCAGAGGCGAUGAAAGACGUAGUAACUUGCGAUAAGCCCAGAUUAGGUAGUAACAACCAUUUGAGUCUGGGAUUUCUGAAUGGGGAAACCCACGUGCAUAAGCACGUAUCCUUACCUGAAUACAUAGGGUAAGGAGGCGAACCGGGGGAACUGAAACAUCUAAGUACCCCGAGGAAAAGAAAUCAACCGAGAUUCCGAAAGUAGCGGCGAGCGAAAUUGGACUAGCCCUUAAGCUUUACACGCGUUAGACGAACGGUCUGGAAAGUCCGACGAUACAGGGUGAUAGUCCCGUAGUUGACGACGUGUGUUCAGUGAAAUCGAGUAGGGCGGGACACGUGAUAUCCUGUCUGAAUAUGGGGGGACCAUCCUCCAAGGCUAAAUACUACUGACUGACCGAUAGUGAACCAGUACCGUGAGGGAAAGGCGAAAAGAACCCCUGUGAGGGGAGUGAAAUAGAACCUGAAACCGUGUACGUACAAGCAGUAGGAGCACCUUCGUGGUGUGACUGCGUACCUUUUGUAUAAUGGGUCAGCGACUUAUAUUCAGUGGCAAGGUUAACCAUCUAGGGGAGCCGUAGGGAAACCGAGUCUUAACUGGGCGUUCAGUCUCUGGAUAUAGACCCGAAACCAGGUGAUCUAGCCAUGGGCAGGUUGAAGGUUGAGUAACAUCAACUGGAGGACCGAACCGACUAAUGUUGAAAAAUUAGCGGAUGACUUGUGGCUAGGGGUGAAAGGCCAAUCAAACCUGGAGAUAGCUGGUUCUCCCCGAAAGCUAUUUAGGUAGCGCCUCGGACGAAUACUACUGGGGGUAGAGCACUGUUAAGGCUAGGGGGUCAUCCCGACUUACCAACCCUUUGCAAACUCCGAAUACCAGUAAGUACUAUCCGGGAGACACACGGCGGGUGCUAACGUCCGUCGUGGAGAGGGAAACAACCCAGACCGCCAGCUAAGGUCCCAAAUUACUACUAAGUGGGAAACGAUGUGGGAAGGCUCAGACAGCCAGGAUGUUGGCUUAGAAGCAGCCAUCAUUUAAAGAAAGCGUAAUAGCUCACUGGUCGAGUCGGCCUGCGCGGAAGAUGUAACGGGGCUAAGUAGUAAACCGAAGCUGCGGCAAUAUACUUUUGUAUAUUGGGUAGGGGAGCGUUCUGUAAGCGGUUGAAGGUGUGUGGUAACGCAUGCUGGACGUAUCAGAAGUGCGAAUGCUGACAUGAGUAACGAUAAAGGGGGUGAAAAACCUCCUCGCCGGAAGACCAAGGGUUCCUGUCCAACGUUAAUCGGGGCAGGGUAAGUCGACCCCUAAGGCGAGGCCGAAAGGCGUAGUCGAUGGGAAACGGGUUAAUAUUCCCGUACUUCUUACAAUUGCGAUGGGGGGACGGAGAAGGCUAGGUGGGCCUGGCGACGGUUGUCCAGGUUCAAGUGCGUAGGCUUAAGAGUUAGGUAAAUCCGGCUCUUUUUAAGGCUGAGACACGACGUCGAGCACCUACGGGUGUGAAGUCAUUGAUGCCAUGCUUCCAGGAAAAGCCUCUAAGCUUCAGAUUGUAAGGAAUCGUACCCCAAACCGACACAGGUGGUCGGGUAGAGAAUACCAAGGCGCUUGAGAGAACUCGGGUGAAGGAACUAGGCAAAAUGGUACCGUAACUUCGGGAGAAGGUACGCUCUCGACGGUGAAGUCCCUCGCGGAUGGAGCUAUUGAGAGUCGCAGAUACCAGGUGGCUGCAACUGUUUAUUAAAAACACAGCACUGUGCAAAAUCGUAAGAUGACGUAUACGGUGUGACGCCUGCCCGGUGCCGGAAGGUUAAUUGAUGGGGUUAGACUUCGGUCGAAGCUCUUGAUCGAAGCCCCGGUAAACGGCGGCCGUAACUAUAACGGUCCUAAGGUAGCGAAAUUCCUUGUCGGGUAAGUUCCGACCUGCACGAAUGGCGUAAUGAUGGCCACGCUGUCUCCACCCGAGACUCAGUGAAAUUGAAAUCGCUGUGAAGAUGCAGUGUACCCGCGGCUAGACGGAAAGACCCCGUGAACCUUUACUACAGCUUGGCACUGAACAUUGACCCUACAUGUGUAGGAUAGGUGGGAGGCUUUGAAGCACGUACGCCAGUAUGUGUGGAGCCGUCCUUGAAAUACCACCCUUGUAGUGUUGAUGUUCUAACGUCGACCCCUAAUCGGGGUUGCGGACAGUGCCUGGUGGGUAGUUUGACUGGGGCGGUCUCCUCCCAAAGAGUAACGGAGGAGCACGAAGGUGGGCUAAUCACGGUUGGACAUCGUGAGGUUAGUGCAAUGGCAUAAGCCCGCUUGACUGCGAGAAUGACAAUUCGAGCAGGUGCGAAAGCAGGUCAUAGUGAUCCGGUGGUUCUGAAUGGAAGGGCCAUCGCUCAACGGAUAAAAGGUACUCCGGGGAUAACAGGCUGAUACCGCCCAAGAGUUCAUAUCGACGGCGGUGUUUGGCACCUCGAUGUCGGCUCAUCACAUCCUGGGGCUGAAGUCGGUCCCAAGGGUAUGGCUGUUCGCCAUUUAAAGUGGUACGCGAGCUGGGUUUAGAACGUCGUGAGACAGUUCGGUCCCUAUCUGCCGUGGGCGUUGGAAGAUUGAAGGGGGCUGCUCCUAGUACGAGAGGACCGGAGUGGACGAACCUCUGGUGUUCGGGUUGUGUCGCCAGACGCAUUGCCCGGUAGCUAAGUUCGGAAUCGAUAACCGCUGAAAGCAUCUAAGCGGGAAGCGAGCCCUGAGAUGAGUCUUCCCUGAUACUUUAAGUAUCCUAAAGGGUUGUCGGAGACUACGACGUUGAUAGGUCAGGUGUGUAAGUGCUGUGAGGCAUUGAGCUAACUGAUACUAAUUGCCCGUGAGGCUUAACCAUACAACACCCAAGGGGUUU
rnacentral:rRNA from 1 species